UACAGAGGGUGCAAGCGUUGUUCGGAAUUACUGGGCGUAAAGCGCGCGCAGGCGGAUCCUGCAAGUCCGGAGUGAAAUCUCACUGCUCAACGGUGAGGCUGCUUUGGAUACUGCGGAUCUGGAGACCGGUAGAGGCUGGUAGAAUUCCAGGUGUAGCGGUGAAAUGCGUAGAUAUCUGGAGGAACACCGGUGGCGAAGGCGGCAUCCUGGACCGACACUGACGCUGAGGAGCGAAAGCCAGGGGAGCAAACGGG
rnacentral:rRNA from 1 species